AUUUUGCUAGAGGAAAAAAACAAAAGGACAAAAAAAGAUAUCUAUUUUUGCUAGCCAACAUCAGGCCAUCAAGUUCAUGUUUUCCCAAGAUGCCGCUGAUAAGUACUAAAAACAUUUCACUGAAGUAACUUUUCUCUGGGUAUCGUAUUUUGGUGGUUACUAUAUAAUCCAAUACAAAAAUUUGAACUUCAUACCAUACGAAUUGUGUAAACUAUUUCAGACCACUAGACCCGUAGCAAGGACAAACUUGUAAGUGCAUGUAGCAUGGUUCAUGGGCCCAACAUGUUCAAUAUUUCAAGCCUAAGCUCUCCAUCAACUGAGUUUACAUCUGCACUAGCCAAAUGCGUAGAAUUGUACAAGCUAGCAGAAUAUGAGACCUCAUGUGGCCCAGCCUGUUUGCAGCCAUUAUUCAAGAAGCAUGUUGACCGGUAAUAUGGAGUCUUUGUCUCAUUCAGCUGCUACAACAUGCUUAUCACAUUUUGGAAUUUGAGUGGGUCUCCUGAAAGAGUUGGUGCCUUUUUGUCUAGCUAGGUUGUUUAGUUUAUGAAGGUCUUGCUAAGCAAGACCCAUUUUUGUUUUAUUUUAAAAUUCUCAAAAUGUCUGAUAUUUGAGCUUCUAUAAUUGAAUCUAGCUUACUGGAGAUUUGGACAAGAUGGUUGCGUUGCAAAGGUUAUUGGAGCCUUAUGGCAUUUGUGAGGUGGCACGAACUGGCCGGGUUGCACUGGUUCGUGAGUCAGGGGUGGAUUCCAAGUAUCUACGUGGUUAUGCUCUCCCAUUGUAAUUGGAACCGCACUGCCUCCAUGAAGCCAACUUAUGUUUCAAAGAUGCAUCAUGACUUGUUGGCUUCUUUUCAAGUUCAUUGUCAGGCAUCUUUUAUUUUUUUCUUGGUUAUUAGUGGCUAGAGUUCAUGUAAUGUACUUGAUCAGUAUUUGCUUCAUAAACAAACUGAGUAGCUAAUGUAGUUGUUGUGAUCAGCUCAUGGAAAGGAUCUAUUGCAUAUUUUGCUUGUUGCCGGCUGAUGUAUAUGACAUCUUUUUAAUAUUGUUGAAAUUUUGUUAUCACUAAUUGAGAAUGCACCUUCUUGAUAA